AUGCGCACUAGCCUCUACGCCGAUGAUCCAAUCAUAUUUGCCAACCUGAUCAAGGAGGAAGUGAGCACCUUACUGAAUCUUCUUCAUGGCUUUGGAGACGCUACAAGGCUGCAAGUGAACCAAACAAAAUGCACUAUAGCAGCAAUUAGAUGUGAGCAGUUGCCAUUGUCGGAAGUGCUACAAGACUUUAGUGGCCAAACAGUUGAAUUCUCAAUUACCUACCUCGGCCUCCCAGUUUCUACCAUAAGGUUGUGCAUUGUGCACUCCCAAUUCAUGCUGGACAGGAUCAAGGGCCGACUCACCGGCUGGAAAGGAAAAUUGCUGAGCAUCGCUGGUCGCAGGGUGCUCGUACAAUGUCUUCUCUCUGCUCUGCCAACUUUCGCGAUGACAGUGUUGAAGUUGCCCAAGAAAAUCAUCAGUGAGAUGGACAAGGCCACACGAAGAUUUCUCUGGUGCCAGGAUGAUGAGGUUUUGGGAGGAAAAAUGCAAAGUGGCGUGGACCAUGGUUUACUCUCCGAUUGA
rnacentral:rRNA from 1 species